UGCUGAUUCAAUUUACUCCAUUGCAGUUGGGCAAUUGGAAAUUGUCUUAUUCGAACGCCGGACAGCUCGGCUUGGGUCAAAUGACAACUGGUAAUGUCGGACAAUUAAUAUCGCCGCAUGUACAGAGCAAGGUGUGACCACCGAGGGUCAGGCUGUUUGAUUACUAGGAAAUGCAUAGUGAAGUUAUGUUGUGACAUCAGCCCAUACAAGACAUCAAGAGUCUAUAUCGGUAUUGUCCCGCUUUCUACUUUUGAGUGACAUACAAUCCAACCCACGAAGAAGUCAGACCCCUUUCCAUCCUCGGAACCCAUCGCCGAACAAUGGUGGAGCCUAAAUUACAAUACCCCAGGCUGAAUCUGCAGCCCACACACACGACACAAGUCACAAGACGACCCCUUUGAAACCGGCAACUGGAGCAACUGCAGCAGCCCAUCAGCUUUUCCGCCUGACACCGACAUGCCGCCAAGAGCUCGAGCUGGGGGUCACUGCCUCGUUUUACAAGGCAUUCAAAAGGAGAUUUGAAUAUUUUAGGAGGCACACGGCGACAUUUCAAUGGACAACAAGUGCCACGCAGCUCCAUGACGACAAAUGGCAGAGAACCAAGCUGGUACACCGGGCGAAACAGGUGAAGCUACUACUACCGCAAGUGAUGUCGGACUAUUUGGACUUAUUUCUAAACAUCCAUGCGCUGUUUAAAAUGUUCUCCGAACACUUUGAUCUUGGUGUAAUCCCGAUCCCCGGGCUCUAACGCUGGAUCUCCGGUUGGGGGUCUUUUGGUGGGGCGACCCGGUCUGCAGGUGGUCGUCGUACAACUCUAUUUUUUAUUUUGUCGCGCUCGCCGAAGUCGCCUUGCAGCGGUGGUCGCUCGUUUAUUAGGCUGGCUCUUCUGGCUGGCCAGUGGCUACCAGGCGUCCAAGACCUGGACCUCCUAACUCCGAACCGAGGCACCGGCGUCUCGGCUUUGCAUCGACAUAGUGCAUAGAAUGCACCGCAUACUUGCAGAUACAGAUGGCAGGCGGCGCAUUGUAUCUGUAUCUGGAUCUGGAUCGGAGAUCGUCUGCCGGUUGGCUGGUGGCUGCAUUUUAUGCACCUUUUGGUAUGUUCAUUGUGAAUUUAUUGGACUCGAUUUUAUCGCUCAAACAAAUGUUGCAUUUUACAAGUGGUUCAAGUGCCUGCAAACGUUAGCUUAAAGACGGCGCUUAUUAAUGAGCCGGGAGUUGGCCGCGAGUAUCUGGUAUCUGGAACUUGGGGAGCGUGCAAAACUGGCGCUCGAUGCCAGCGGGAGUUUUGGUCGAAGAGAACGGGCUAAGAGGGGAGUGCCGCCGUAUCGCUUAUUCCCGAUAAGUCGGGCCCACAUUCGUGGGCAUUUGGCCAAGUUGCGCCAAACAAAUUGCGGCCAUCAGUCAGGGGUAGUCAGUCAGUCAGGCCGCACAAUUAAUAUCGAAUUAAGCCGCUGGCCAAAAAAUUAGGCAAAUCGCCGUUGUUGAGCCGCAAAAGCAGGAAAUCCAACCAGAUUCGCCAACAAAAACAGUUCAAAGUGUUUUAGAAAUUGUAGCAAUCACUAUAAUAUCAAUUAAAUUGGGUAAUAACCAAGUCAAAAUGAUUCGUACGGUAUUAAUAAAAUAUUGCUAUAGCUUAAAGAUUUUCACAAAUUUGUUCAAAAUGUUUCCCAAUUACUUCAACGCUGGGUGAGAAUACCUAAAGCCCAGUAAAUUGCCUUAAGUGCUCGUUAGAUUCCUCGUUAGACCUUUGCUUUCUGCUUCCAAAUUACACCUAUCAAUCAAUUUGAACAUGGCACAACUAUCGAAUUAACCCGCAAUCGAAGGAAAAUCAAUAGCGAUUCGAUUCCCGCUUUUCCAUUUCGGUGGACUCACGCAAUGAACCAUUGAACCAGGACACAAUAAGGAGCACCUGCGAUGAUUAGGGGUAAUCACAAGUGCUUAACACAAAAACCGCCAAUACACUGACCAAAAUGAGGUCUUAAAUAAUACAAUUUUGGUAUAAUUACACAAACAUGAUCCGUCUGAAGAUUUUGCAAUCAUAAAAAUAACUAUUUCUAUGCAAUUCUUUUGCACCUUUUCCAUCGAUAGACAGUCUUUUCAGCUUUUUCAGUGCUUGCGAUCGAUAUUGGUAAUAACUUUCCUGUGUUUGCGGGCCCAAGACAUCAAUCAACCGAAAUCGAUUGGUCAAUGGGUCAUCAUUUGACGCACUCGGGGCGGGUUCACUUGUCACUCGCAAGUGCCUUGAAUGUCACCUAAAAGAGGGCGUUAUACCACGAGUAUACAUUUGGGGGCGUGGCUGUGGUGCCGGCAAAUUGCUGUCACAAGCGCCAAAUUAUGUGCACUCGCCCAGUGGCUCGGACUUAAUCGGAGACGAAAAUCUAAUUGACAUAAAGCCGACAUGCUAAACGACAUCGACAUCGGCCUCCGCUGGAGCUUAUGGAUGUAGCUAAUGAUGACUCUGUUGGUGCUGUUGCUGCUACAAAGUUGCUGCUGCUGCUGCUGUUGCUGUUGCUGCUGCGAACCAAGACGACGACGUCGCGUAUCUCACAUCUUUUGCCGAUAUUUAUGGGCCCGGGUCGAAAGUUCAAAUGCUGCCAACCCAACAGCGAGCUGGCAGGAAAGAGGAAGACAGAGAGCUCGGUUUAAUCAAGGCCCCUGCAAAGUCGAUUAAUUAGCGGCUCACGAGGCACGGCGGUGCAUCGAACUGGCAUCCAAAAACGUACACAGGUGCGAACCUGCGGAUUCUCUGGACUCGAGUGAAAGGUGGCUAGAAGCUUCGGCUUUUUGGCCCUCGGCCAUGUCAAACCGGACAGACGCCCAUCAAGCAAACUGAAAUGAGGAAAAAGAGAAGGAAAAUAGCACCUGACAGCCAAGCCGCAGCCGUCAACAAUAUCCAUCUGAAAGAGGUCAUAAAGCAAACAGUUUAAGGUGAAAGGUGCUCCGCGGACAUGCAACAUGCAACUCUGCCAGACUCGACCAACAGAAAUGCAGAGGAU